UAGCGUUGAUAUACAAAUUUGCAUUUUCUUUGCGUAGGCAUUAUAGGCUGCAAUGGUGAUACUCCUUGAUAGUCCAUCAAUAUUACUAGUGUACAACACUACAACUGUAGCUUCUUUCCCGCCUUCAUCUUUUUCUCUGUGUCAGUUGGUGAUGUAAUUAUCAAGAUAAUUUGAUGUACAUAGAAGCUCAGUGGUUUGCUUAGUCUCUAGAUAUUUGUAAUGUUUAACUAAUGGUGCUUAUAUUGUAGGAUCCUAAAUCCUUGGGUUAUGACAAUCUGCUGAAAUGUUGCUGAAUGACAUUUCUCACGAGCUAUUUUGAAAUGGGACAAGGAUGGGAAAAGCCUGAU
rnacentral:misc_RNA from 1 species